rnacentral:lncRNA from 1 species
GCUCCUCGCCGCCUUGGACUUGGUGAGAGGUUCUUGGCUACGACACCAAGGCACAGGCAGUCAAGAAAAAACUGGAUAAAUUGGACUCUGUCGACAUUAAAAACUUCUGGGCAUCGACAGAGUGUAUAGACGGCCCACGCUCGGGAGAGGCCGUCUGCGGAUUAUAUCCCUGAUAGAGACCUCGUGUCAGGAUAUAUAAUGAACUCUCACAGCUCAGCAACAAAAGGUCAAGAAUGGACGGAGGACCCGAACAGGAACUCUUCCCAAGAAAACGUGCAAAUGGCCAACAAGCACGUGAAAAGAGGGAAACGCAACUCAAAACCACGCUGAGAUGCCCGCGAGGAUGCCUAGAAUGGGGCGGAAACUAGCGAGUGCUGGCCAGGACGUGGACAACGUGGAACGCCUGGGCACGGCGGGCGGGAGCACGGGACGGGACGGCCACUCUGGAAAACGGGUUGGUGGAUCCCGGAGAGUAAAACGUCGAAUGCUCAUUUGAUGAAGCUUCUCCACCCCUACGUACACACCCAGAGAACCGAAACCAGGGCUCCAGACAAACACUUGUACACAAAUGUUCACAGCAGCUUUAUACACAGCGGUCGCAAAGAGGAAAGGACCCAAGUGCCCGUCGCCUAAAGCAAAGGUAAGUGAAGUGGGGUCCGUCCCCACAAUGGAGUAUUAUUCAGCCACUAAAAGGAAUGAUGUUCUGACGCUCUCCGUGGCGGGGUGAACCUUGAGAUUGUUAUGCUCGGUGAAAGAAACCAGACACAAAAGCCGCAUUGUGUGAUUCCACUUACAGGAAAAGUCCGGAACAGGCAAUCCACGGAGACAGAAGGCAGAUCAGUGAGGCCAGGAGCGAGGGGGAGGGAGAAGCCAGGAGCAACCGCUAAUGGGCGAGGGCUUUCUUUCUUUUUGGGGGAUGAAAAUGGUUCACAACCGGACAGAGGUGUCGAUGGCACAACACUGUGAACGCGCUAAAUGCGCUGAAUGGUACGUUUUCAAAUGGUUCGUUUUAUGUUCUGUGGAUUUUA